UGCCCGGUCGUCUAAUGGCAGGACGCCUGAUUUUGAGUCAGGAAAUCUUGGUUCGAUCCCAAGGCGGGCAUCCA
rnacentral:tRNA from 1 species